GGUUUCCGUAGGUGAACCUGCGGAAGGAUCAUUGUCGAAACCUGCAAAGUAGACCGCGAACAUGUGUUUAACUCCUCGACGGUGCAUGGCGCGGGGGCAACCCCCGUUGUGUCGCCGUCACCCCCGCAUGCGUGUUCCCUCGGGUCACGUCUUGUGGGCUAACGAACCCCGGCGCGGAAUGCGCCAAGGAAAACUUAACGAAGCAUUCACCCCCUGCACCCCGUUCGCGGAGUGUGCGGGGGUAUUGGGUGUUUAUCAAAUGUCAAAACGACUCUCGGCAACGGAUAUCUCGGCUCUCGCAUCGAUGAAGAACGUAGCGAAAUGCGAUACUUGGUGUGAAUUGCAGAAUCCCGUGAACCAUCGAGUCUUUGAACGCAAGUUGCGCCCGAAGCCAUUAGGCCGAGGGCACGUCUGCCUGGGCGUCACGCAUCGCGUCGCCCCCCAUCCAUGCGCACAGCGCUGGUUGUAGGGGCGGAUAUUGGCCUCCCGUGUGCCUCGGUGCGCGGCUGGCCCAAAUGCGAUCCCUCGGCGACUCAUGUCACGACAAGUGGUGGUUGAACUCUCAAUCUCGCGCGUCGUCGUGCCACUGCGUCGUCCGUUUGGGCAUCUAUCACGACCCAACGGUGUUGGUGCCUCUUGGCGCCCCACCUUCGACCGCGAACCCAGGUCAGGCGGGAUUACCCGCUGAGUU
rnacentral:rRNA from 1 species